rnacentral:lncRNA from 1 species
AGUUCUGGUAUCUAUGAUGAGUUUAUUUACAUUCAUAUUUGUUAUAUAAGAUGAAUUAAUUCAUUCAUUCAUAUAUAAGAUAAGAUAAGAAAAAAAAUAUUUUGUUUCGGCAGAAGUCAAAUUUACAACACUCUAACUGUCUAAGGAGCUUUUGACAUAGUAUAUAUAAUAACAUAUAUACAUUAUAACAUAAAACCGCAGUCCAAGAUAAUAUUACAACCUGCAAUAUGAGAGAAUAAUCUCACACAUAGCAUGCAAUAGCAAUUUAGCA